rnacentral:rRNA from 1 species
AUUUAUCGGUAUGAGAUGGCGAUGCGUCCCAUUAGCUUGUUGGCGGGGUAACGGCCCACCAAGGCAUCGAUGGGUAGGGGUUCUGAGAGGAAGGUCCCCCACAUUGGAACUGAGACACGGUCCAAACUCCUACGGGAGGCAGCAGUGAGGAAUAUUUGGUCAAUGGACGCAAGUCUGAACCAGCCAAGUAGCGUGCAGGAAGACGGCCCUCUGGGUUGUAAACUGCUUUUAGUUGGGAAUAAAGUGCACCACGUGUGGUGUUUUGUAUGUACCAUCAGAAAAAGGACCGGCUAAUUCCGUGCCAGCAGCCGCGGUAAUACGGAAGGUCCAGGCGUUAUCCGGAUUUAUUGGGUUUAAAGGGAGCGCAGGCGGACCUUUAAGUCAGCUGUGAAAUACGGCGGCUCAACCGUCGAACUGCAGUUGAUACUGGAGGUCUUGAGUGCACACAGGGAUACUGGAAUUCAUGGUGUAGCGGUGAAAUGCUCA